AGUGAACGCUGGCGGUAGGCCUAACACAUGCAAGUCGAACGGCAGCACAGUAAGAGCUUGCUCUUACGGGUGGCGAGUGGCGGACGGGUGAGGAAUACAUCGGAAUCUACUUUUUCGUGGGGGAUAACGUAGGGAAACUUACGCUAAUACCGCAUACGACCUACGGGUGAAAGCAGGGGAUCUUCGGACCUUGCGCGAUUGAAUGAGCCGAUGUCGGAUUAGCUAGUUGGCGGGGUAAAGGCCCACCAAGGCGACGAUCCGUAGCUGGUCUGAGAGGAUGAUCAGCCACUCUGGAACUGAGACACGGUCCAGACUCCUACGGGAGGCAGCAGUGGGGAAUAUUGGACAAUGGGCGCAAGCCUGAUCCAGCCAUACCGCGUGGGUGUAGAAGGCCUUCGGGUUGUAAAGCCCUUUUGUUGGGAAAGAAAAGCAGCGGGUUAAUACCCCGCUGUUCUGACGGUACCCAAAGAAUAAGCACCGGCUAACUUCGUG
rnacentral:rRNA from 1 species